ACAACCAAAAACCCCAGUAACCAAAAAGACAAUCGAGCCCUCACCACCAUCGCCAUGCUCUCUGCAGUCUCGUCUUCCCUCCUUACCUUCCACAAGCCCUUCACUCGCGCUCUUCGACUCCCCCUCCCCAAACUCCCCAUUUCUUCAAACCCUAAACCCCUCUCUUCUCUCUCCCCCGCCACUUCUUCUCUCAUCCCCAAUUCCACCGGCGGUGGUCGCGCCGGGGCUUUAUCUCCGGCCCCGGCCACCGACGACCUCCAGAAGAUCGAUGUUAACCCUCCCAAGGGCACGAGGGACUUCCCACCCGAAGAUAUGCGCCUCCGCAACUGGCUCUUCUACAAUUUCAGAGAGGUCUCGCGGCUGUUCGGCUUCGAAGAGGUCGACUAUCCGGUUCUUGAGACGGAGGCUCUGUUUAUCAGAAAGGCAGGGGAGGAGAUUCGAGACCAGCUGUAUUGCUUCGAAGAUCGGGGAAAUCGUCGCGUUGCGCUGAGGCCGGAGCUCACUCCUUCUUUGGCAAGGCUGGUGAUACAGAAAGGAAAAUCUCUAUCCCUUCCGUUGAAAUGGUUUGCCAUUGGGCAGUGUUGGCGGUAUGAGAGGAUGACAAGGGGGCGGCGUCGGGAGCAUUACCAGUGGAAUAUGGAUGUUAUUGGUGUACCUGAGGUUACGGCUGAAGCAGAACUUAUUUCUUCAAUUGUCACUUUCUUCAAGCGAGUAGGAAUUACAGCAUCAGAUGUUGGAUUCAAGGUUUCUAGUCGUAAGGUUUUACAAGAAGUAUUGAGGCGUUAUUCCAUACCCGAAGCUUUAUUUGGCAAAGUUUGCAUCAUCAUAGACAAGAUAGAGAAGAUUCCAGUGGAUGAUAUAAAAAAUGAGUUGAAAUCUGCUGGUGUAUCUGAAGAGGCUAUUGAACAGUUAUUGCAAGUUCUUUCCAUAAAGUCAUUGACAAAGCUGGAAGAGAUACUUGGAGGAGCAGGGGAAGCAGUUGCUGAUCUGAAACAACUAUUCUCUCUUGCUGACAAAUUUGGUUACUCUGAAUGGAUUCAGUUUGAUGCUUCUAUUGUUCGUGGCCUUGCCUACUACACUGGUAUUGUCUUUGAGGGUUUUGAUAGAGGAGGAAAGUUACGAGCCAUUUGUGGUGGUGGGCGAUAUGACCGCUUGCUUUCUACUUUUGGUGGUGAUGACAUUUCUGCUUGUGGAUUUGGGUUUGGUGAUGCUGUUAUAGUGGAAUUGCUUAAGGAGAAGGGUCUUCUACCGGAACUCAGCCUGCAAGUAGAGAACAUUGUGUGUGCUCUUGAUCCUGGACUCCAAGGAGCAGCUGCAACAGUUGCCACCAUACUCAGGGGAAAAGGUCAAAGUGUUGAUUUAGUCUUGGAGAACAAACCGCUUAAAUGGGUAUUCAAGCGUGCAUCACGAAUAAAUGCUAACAGGCUGAUAUUGGUGGGAGAUUCGGAGUGGCAAAGGGGUAUGGUGAGUGUGAAAGUCCUUUCUUCCGGCGAACAACGUGAGAUCAAACUUGAUGAACUAGAGUGAUAAGAAUUUGAUUAUUUGGAGGUUGUAGUGUUUAUUUUUAUCUUUAUAGGAUGCUGUGCUUGGUGUAGCAAUAGUUUUCAUUUGUUGCCUUUUGGUUUGCAUUUUACCUUUGUGAAAAAUUAAGAAAUGAAGUGACCUGCAUCGCACAUUGUGCUUUCCUCUAAAUUCAAAAUUUUGAAAUACAAGAAAAUUUAGAGAAAUUUGAUUUAUGUGAAAGAAUGUCUGCCACCUCGAGAGUGCAGAUUGUGUUGGGAAUGGUAAUGGUUGCUCCGAGUUGAUGAAGAAUGUGACCCAGUGUCUUUCUGACGAAGAACAGUGCAGAUGACUUGAAGUCUUCCAGAUUAAUGCUCUGCCGAAUCAUGAAGCCUAACAAAGAAAACCGGAGUCGCACCAAUCUCAUGCCCCCACAUGGGUGUUUUGGAAUUGCAUCAGCAUGAGCGGCCAAAUUUGAGGCAGCGGCCAGCAAGCAACGUGCUCGUGAGCAGUCACGUAAUGGAUUCCAAACUCUUGUACUAUCUUCGGUGGAAGUUUGUGAUAACGGAGGAUAUUUAUGUGCUUUCAGUUUAUUGCCCUCCAUGCAUCAUGAUUCUGGAAGGAAAGGAAAUUGAAAGGAUUAGAAGAAGGGUGAAAGUUGCUCCAUAAUUCAUCGCAUCUAUCUAGCUGCUUCUAUUUUUUCCCUGCUUUCUUCUGCUGGUUUUGGUCGUUUUCGCCUUUUUGUUCAUUUGUCCUGGUAGUGUCUCAAUCGAGGCAGAUCUGUCACCACUGCCGCUGCCACCACUUGUCCGAUGGCUUUGCCUCCUCUCAAAUCUCAAUCAAUGAUCAUGGUUGAUUAAGUGAGGGCAUGACCUCAGUGGCUCGGUUCUCUUUUACUGUUUAUUUUUUAUUUGUCAAACGAUAAAUUUGUUAAAUUAGAUGUUAAAUUAGAGAGCUGAUGAAGUUCGAAUCUA